rnacentral:rRNA from 1 species
UACGUAGGGGGCAAGCGUUGUCCGGAUUUAUUGGGCGUAAAGAGCGUGUAGGCGGUUAGGUAGGUCCGUUGUGAAAACUCGAGGCUCAACCUCGAGAUGUCGAUGGAAACCGUCUGGCUAGAGUCCGGAAGAGGAGUGUGGAAUUCCUGGUGUAGCGGUGAAAUGCGCAGAUAUCAGGAAGAACACCUAUGGCGAAGGCAGCACUCUGGGACGGUACUGACGGCUGAGACGCGAAAGCGUGGGGAGCGAAACAGG